UAAAGAGGACAACUUAUGAUGGCUAGUG
rnacentral:piRNA from 1 species